UACGGAGGGUGCGAGCGUUGUCCGGAAUCACUGGGCGUAAAGGGCGCGUAGGCGGCCUGAUAAGUAGGGGGGUGAAAUCCUGCGGCUUAACCGCAGGGCUGCCUUCUAAACUGUCGGGCUAGAGCACGGUAGAGGCAGAUGGAAUUCCCGGUGUAGCGGUGGAAUGCGUAGAGAUCGGGAAGAACAUCAGUGGCGAAGGCGG
rnacentral:rRNA from 1 species